GCUGCCUGAGGCCUGAGAUCUGUAGAGAUAAUAGUGCAGCUUUCCCACCUUCCCCGUACACACGCACAUACUCACAUCCCAUGUGACUCCCAGCACAGCCCACUGAAGAAAGCGUCCCCACAAUCCUGAACAAGAGCACCCUCUCCCCCACUCCCAACGAAAGAGUGCGAGGCGAGGUCCCUGGUGUCCGGAUUUAUUUUAUUCUCUUCCAGGGGGGCCUGGGGCUGGGGGAGGCGGGGGAGGCUGGAGGGCAGCAUGCAUCGGCCUCCUGGAAAAGUCUGGGACGGGCAGGCCUCGGAGGCCCAUCCUUCCUGGGCGCUGCAGCAGCAAAACAGACACGUGGCCCAGGCCUCAAGUGCCAAGGAGGUGCUGCGUCCACCCCCCACUUCACUCCCAGGUCCAGCUGGAAGCAGGAAGGCAAAGGGGGUGACAGGCAA